rnacentral:tRNA from 1 species
GGCGAAGUAGCUCAGCUGGCUAGAGCGUUCGGUUCAUACCCGAAAGGUCGGGGGUUCGAUCCCCUCUUUCGCCACCA